rnacentral:rRNA from 1 species
GAACGCGAAGAACCUUACCCGGGCUUGAACUAAGAGUGACAGAUUUAGAGAUAGAUUUUUCUUCGGACACUCUUGGAGGUGCUGCAUGGUUGUCGUCAGCUCGUGCCGUGAGGUGUCGGCUUAAGUGCCAUAACGAGCGCAACCCUUUUCCUUGGUUGCCAUCAGGUAAUGCUGGGCACUCCAGGGAUACUGCCAUCGUAAGAUGUGAGGAAGGUGGGGAUGACGUCAAAUCAGCACGGCCCUUACGUCCGGGGCUACACACGUGUUACAAUGGGGGGUACAGAAGGUCGCUACCUGGUGACAGGAUGCUAAUCUCCAAAACCUCUCUCAGUUCGGAUUGGAGUCUGCAACCCGACUCCAUGAAGCUGGAUUCGCUAGUAAUCGCGCAUCAGCCGUGGCGCGGUGAAUACGUUCCCGGGUCUUGUACACACC